rnacentral:rRNA from 1 species
UACGGAGGGUGCAAGCGUUAUCCGGAUUCACUGGGUUUAAAGGGUGCGUAGGAGGGUGUGUAAGUCAGUGGUGAAAUCUUCGAGCUUAACUCGGAAACUGCCGUUGAUACUACAUGUCUUGAAUACCGUGGAGGUGAGCGGAAUAUGUCAUGUAGCGGUGAAAUGCUUAGAUAUGACAUAGAACACCAAUUGCGAAGGCAGCUCACUACACGAAUAUUGACUCUGAGGCACGAAAGCGUGGGGAUCAAACAGG